UACAGAGGGUGCAAGCGUUGCUCGGAAUUAUUGGGCGUAAAGGGUAGGUAGGUGGUCUCAUUUGUCGGGGGUGAAAGCCUUGGGCUUAACCCAAGAAGUGCCUUCGAAACGGUGAGACUAGAGUUCUGGAGAGGGUCGUGGAAUUCCCGGUGUAGCGGUGAAAUGCGCAGAUAUCGGGAGGAACACCAAUGGCGAAGGCAGCUCGCUGGGACGGUACUGGACGCUGAGACGGCGAAAGCGUGGGGAGGCAAACAGGG
rnacentral:rRNA from 1 species